rnacentral:SRP_RNA from 1 species
GCCAGGCGCGGUGGCACGUGCCUGUAGUCCCAGCUACUCAGGAGGCUGAGGUGGAAGGAUCGCUUCAGCCCAGGAGUUCUGGGCUGUAGUGCGCUAUGCCGAUCGGGUGUCUGCACUAAGUUCGGCAUCAAUAUGGUGACCUCCCAGGAGCGGGAGACCACCAGCUUGCCUAAGGAGGGGCGAACCAGCCCAGGUUGGGAACGGAACAGGUCAAAACUCCCGUGCUGAUCAGUAGUGGGAUCGCUCCUGUGAAUAGCCACUGCAUUCCAGCCUGGGCAACAUAGGGAGACCCCAUCUCU